rnacentral:rRNA from 1 species
CCUACGGGUGGCAGCAGUGGGGAAUAUUGGGCAAUGGAGGAAACUCUGACCCAGCAACGCCGCGUGAAGGAUGAAGGUUUUCGGAUUGUAAACCUCUGUCGCGAGGGACGAAGAAUGACGGUACCUCGUAAGAAAGCCCCGGCUAACUACGGGCCAGUCGCCGCGGUAAUACGUAGGGGGCGAGCGUUGACCGGAAUGACUGGGCGUAAAGGGAGUGUAGGCGGGAAUAUAAGUUAGGUGGGAAAUCCCCCGGCUCAACCGCGGAACUGCAGCUAAAACUAUAUAGCUUGAGUGCAGGAGAGGUGAGUGGAAUGCGUGGUGUAGCGGUGAAAUGCGUAGAUAUUAGGAGGAACACCGGUGGCGAAGGCAGCUCACUGGAGUGUAACUGACGCUGAGGCUCGAAAGCGUGGGGAGCGAACAGGAUUAGAUACCCCGGUAGUC